rnacentral:piRNA from 1 species
UGGGCCAUUGAGACUUUUCAUAUUUCUACUGU